GUCCACGCCGUAAACGAUGGGUGCUAGGUGCUGCGGGCUUUGACCCCUGCUGUGCCGUAGCUAACGCAUUAAGCACCCCGCCUGGGAAGUACGGCCGCAAGGCUAAAACUCAAAGGAAUUGACGGGGGCCCGCACAAGCGGUGGAGCAUGUGGUUUAAUUCGACGCAACGCGAAGAACCUUACCUGGGCUAGAAAACGUAGGAACCCUGCUGAAAAGUGGGGGUGCUCUUCGGAGAACCUGCGGUUAGGUGCUGCAUGGCUGUCGU
rnacentral:rRNA from 1 species